rnacentral:tRNA from 1 species
GCGAAAGCCGAAGUGGUACGAAAAUCUGGUUCCCGUAAGGGAGUGCGGGUUCGAGUCCCGCCGUCCGCACCA